CUUUACGAUAUGUUUAGCAUGCUGAACUCAUAACUGCCCGUGUAACUCUUCUUAAAUCUUGUCUGAGUUACUGAACAUGAUAUACAACCUACCUUUUCAUCCCAAGCCCCUGCUUUCCUUGCCAAUGUCAUAAGUUGUGAGUUAUGGACAGUGUUAUCCGAUACUGAGAAAAAAGGUAAAAGAUAAAAAAAUUGGCCUUUGUCUUAGCUUGAAGGCCAAAAAAUGGCUUCUUUUUUGGCUUUUGAGCUAAAAAGAAGCGGAACAUGCUCAAUUUGAAGUAAGGAUUCCUAUAUAAUGUUGCAUACCAAAUAUUCCCUUGAAGUUUAUACAGUUGUCAUGGGGAUGAGUUCUUGAUCGGUAUUCUUGAAUCUGAUGAAGAAAUAAAAUAGAGGCCGUACUGUUGCUUCCCUAAAGCGAUCAAAAUGGCUGGGGACGAAGCAUGGAUAACCAUAAAUUAUCUUCAAGUUGCACCACGCUAGUCCAUAUCAAACGCUGGUCUUUGAUUCACCGAACUUUGUUCCAAACUACCACGUCUAGUUUGAUUGUUUCUAUCGUCAACACAAGUGUGGAUGUUUUACCUGGAUUCCUAUCAAUGAAGGAUGAGCCUCAGUAACCGAAGUCAGGAUAAUUUUAUCUAAGUCUUCGUCGAGCAUUUCCUUGAAUCAGAUUAUUUAAAUUGUGGUGAGGAAGAUACCUCGAUAGACAAAGAAUCACCGUGGGAGGACCUUUUGGAUGGAUACCAACAAAUUUUUUAUUAAAACAAUCUUUGUUGAUGGUUUAGAAAGAUGUUCUUUCGAUAUGAUACUUUUUCACUCAUUACAGAACAGAUAUCUCCGACGAUUUCAUUGUCUUAACAUAUGCCAAGCCUCGAAAUAUGGCCCAUAACUCAGUUGUUAAGCUUUAACAUGUGUCGAUUUCCAUUGGUCAUUCGUGAUAAGUCCCCCAAUUCCUUUGAAUGUGAUCGUGUUUCAAUUGGGCAA
rnacentral:lncRNA from 1 species